rnacentral:lncRNA from 1 species
GACGGGACCCAGCCUUAGUGGCCAGCCAGUCCAGCAAAAACCAGGAGUUCCAAGUUCAGAGAGAGAGAGUGUGAUUGAGGAAGGCACUCCAUCAACCGUGGCCCACCCGGCCCUCCAGCUUGUGUUUGUAUUAUAUACUGAGGUUGCACAUGAACUAGUGUUAGAGAGAGCUGAAGAGGCCACUCACUUGUUAAGAGCAGUGACUAAUCUUCCAGAGAGCCCAGGAUCAGUUCCCAGUACCACAGGGCAGCUCACAUGGGAUCUGAUGCCCUCUUCUACUCUCCAAGAGCACUGCACAAACAUGGUGGACAGAUAUACAUGCAGACAAAACACCAUACACAUAAAAUAAGGAAAAAAAAAGAGAGAAAGAUAACAUUAUAGAAAAAUUUAAAAUGUAUUGUAGAAAUUGAGAAUUCAUGGAUGAGCUACCAGCUAGGCAAAUGGCAUUGGUGACUCUGCCCAAGGUGGGCUACCCAGUACUGCAGACCUAACAGUUUCCUGCCCCUUUGUUCACCUAAGCAAGGCAGGCUAGGGAGAACACCGACUCUGAGACCAAGAGAGCCAGGAUCUUCUGGUGUUUUCUGUUUGGUUUGGUUUGUAAAGUAAAUUCCUGUUGUUUUGCACAGAUACCAUAUGAUGGGCACAUGGUCUGUUUUUCCUGCUGUGAGGGGUGGGAGCGAUGCAGGCACUGGCUGGUUUGAUCUAAGACGUUCUGACUUGGUCCUGACUCCUCUUCUUCA